rnacentral:lncRNA from 13 species
UGGAGAUGUGUGAAACUUCCUCCUCAGCAGGGUCAUUGUAAGGUCACUUCCAUUUUAAUUCCAGGUCAAUUCAGAAAGUAAACCAAAUUCCAAUUCUAAUUCCAAAUGUUCCUAAUUGCAAGGCAUCGAAGAGAAUUGGAAUAGGACUUUGAAUUGGAAUUUCAGUGUACUUCAUGAAUUGACUGGAAUUGAAUUGGAAUUGACCCCAACCUUGCGCCUCAGCUUUAAGUGUCCCGCUUGCGUCGCCUCAUGAGCUUUUGAGGUGGCGUGAUCAGCUAAGAUGCAUGAGGGAGAACGGUCACGUGUGCUAGCAAGGCAGAGGUCCCUAGUUUGUGCCAGGAGCCAAAGUGCAACAGGCCACAGACAACCGUCUCUUCUAUUGGGGGAUGAUAUCAGGCGUUGCAGCAUGUGUAGCUGUCCUGGUGUUUGGUGGCGUAAUCAUGAGGAAAAUUCAUCUCAGGUAAGAUGAUAUUAAUACAUUGGUAAAAGAGUGUUUGACAGAUUUUUGGUAUUUGAAUAAUUACUUGGAAGCACUGUUGUAGAAAUUAUGCAUUCUCAAAUACAUUUUAGUUCUACAAAGAGGAUAGAGUACAACAAGGAUGAAAAGCAUGAAAAGGGCUUACCAAGAAAAACAUCCAAAGGACUCAUUUGAGGCAGAAAGUAGUUGGAGCACUCAACAAGGAAGGCAGAGAUGGAUUUAUUUUAGCUCAGUGUAAUUCAUUGUAUAGGAUGAUAACAGUUGAGUGUCCAAACUCCUUUCUGUCUCGAAUUAGUCCUUCUGGAAAUGUUUCUAUGUAAGCCCUUUACAUGCAAUGCUAUAUAUCCAACUGACACAUUUUUAAAUACCCAAACACCAUGUAUAAAAUACAGGCUACUUGACCUACUUUAAGUCUGAUUCAAUGAGUUUGUACUGAUCACUACCCACUGAGCAAAAACUGGUUGAAUUAAUGUUGUUUCCACUUAAUUUCAACAACAACAUGCGAUGUGAUGAUAACGUGGAAAACAUGUUGGAUUUACAGAAAUGUGUCAUCACAAUGGAAUUUCGUAUCCCCCCCCCCCCAAAACUUUUACCCUAAAUCCAAUAACAUGGUGAUAUUUUGUUGUUGUUGAAUUCAUGUUGAAUUCACGUUAGUUGACAACUCGACCAAAAUGUAAAUCGAAACUAGGCUAGAUGUUCAACUGACAUA